CCCCCAUUUCUUUCUCCCCCGUUCCCCUUCCAACCUGCGAUUUCCAGGGUUUCGGCCACAUCUCCAACCGACGAUGGCGGCGUGAUAUGCGACGACCGCUUGAUCUCCGGCCGUGGAAGGUUUUCGAUUGUUGAAGAAGAAGCCCAAGAUCAUGCAGCAGCAUCUUGAUUAUUGUUUCCCUGGUUUAUGGCUAUCCAAGAUAACUCCUCGAUCCUACAAAGCCAAUGAAUAAGACAUGUGUUCUUAUAGUCCGUAUACAUUGUGAAGGUUGUAAGGAUAGGUCAGGAAGAAGGUGCAGAAGGUUCAAGAAGGAAAAUGUUUGUCUGGCAAACUCUAUAUCUGAAAUGCAUAAAUUUGGAGCAAUCUAUAAUAUCAAAUGGUUCUCAUACUUUGGCACAUGAAUCCAAUGAUUUGGGUAAAAAAGAUAAAAAGAAGAAAGGAACAAAAAGAGGAAGGCACUUUGAUAGAGAUUCUCGAGCUACUAAUCCAGAGGUCUCAAUUUGGUGUGAUCUCACUGUAGUUGAAGACAACUGUAUUUGUUCACCUCUUUUCGGUAUUCC